CUUUAGAUCCAUUUUAAGGCACGAGAGUAAAUGAGAAACUGUUCUUAAUAGCAGCAUACCUCAUUUUAGGAAGCAAUGAGAGCAAACAAUAAAAGAAAUAAAGGGUCUCCUUGUCUUAAGCCCCACCUAAAUUGCAGCCUUGUCUUUGAACAAGCACCCUCUCCCCAAACAAAUAGAUUCUGGAUCAAAUCCUCUAGUCCUUAGUACUCUGAGAGGAAUUAAACCAAGUGCACC
rnacentral:lncRNA from 1 species